UCAGUUGGCCGGGCAGCCGCGCUUGUCAUAUGCCGAAAGGCGGCAGGCGAGGAAAGUCCGGGCUCCAUGGAAACACGAUGCCGGGUAACGCCCGGCGGGGGCGACCCCAGGGAAAGUGCCACAGAAAGCAGACCGCCCCGUCUUCCGUCGCGUCUCAGAGGCAUGAUCCCGAAAAGUUGCAGACUUUUCGGAUAAGAUCAUGCACAUAAAAAAGACGCGAGGGAUGACGGGGUAAGGGUGAAAGGGUGGGGUAAGAGCCCACCGCGUCUCCGGCAACGGCGACGGCACGGUAAACCCCAUCGGGAGCAAGACCGAAUAGGGACGGCGUGCCGGGUGAAAGCCCGGCGAUCAGUUUCCGGAUCAGCCGUCCGGGUAGGUUGCAAGAGGCGGGUGGCGACAUCCGUCCCAGAUGAAUGGCUGCCACGUUGGGCGCAAGCCCAGCCAUACAGAACCCGGCUUACAGGCCAACUGACAUU
rnacentral:RNase_P_RNA from 1 species